rnacentral:rRNA from 1 species
UUGACGGAGAGUUUGAUCCUGGCUCAGGAUGAACGCUGGCGGCGUGCUUAACACAUGCAAGUCGGACGAUGAUGUGCCUUCGGGUGCGGAUUAGUGGCGAACGGGUGAGUAACACGUGAGCAAC